CUAUUACUCAAUGCUGAGUAGUGGAUGGCUCGGUUCGAGAAGCCGAUGAAGGACGUGGUAAGCUGCGAUAAGCUUGGGCGAGGCGCAUGCAGCCUUGGAGCCCAAGAUUUCCGAAUGCGACUUCGUGACCUGUUUCGACAGGUCGACACGCAAUGUGUCGGUAACGCGGUGAAGUGAAACAUCUCAGUAGCCGUAGGAAAAGAAACCAAUAGGGAUUCCCUUAGUAGUGGCGAACGAAAGGGGAAUAGCGCAAACUGAAGCUUCUACAGUGAUGUAGAAGCGAUGUGGUUCGUUCUUCCUUUAGAACUGAAUGGGAUAGCUUAACUCCUCUGGAAAGAGGGGCCGUAGAGAGUGAUAGCCUCGUAGGCAACUUCCGUGACGUUCAUAGGUUGAGCAAGAGUAGCACGGGUUGGAAAUCCUGUGUGAAGAUGGGAGGCACAUUCUUCCAACGCUAAAUACUUCUCGAGUCCGAUAGCGCACUAAGUACCGUGAGGGAAAGCUGAAAAGUACCCCUAGAAAGGGGGUUAAAAGAGCCUCAAACUAUUCAGUAAUAGGCUAGAUAUGGCAUGAAAGCGUCGAUAUCUCUGAACGAAUCAGUCGAGAGACUUUAGUAGGAACGAGGUGGAGCGAUGUCAUAUCAUCCGUUUUGAAAAACGGGGCAGGGAGUUUGUCACCGUGGCGAAGCUAAGUCGUUUACGCGAUGGAGCUGUAGCGAAAGCAAGAAGCCCGCAACGUCUUUGACGUGAGGGGCCGCGUGUUAACGCGCGUGAAGUCACCGUGACAUGAUCCGAAACCGGUCGAUCCUGGCCUGGCCCGGCUGAAGCGGCGCGAAAGCUCCGUGGAAGGCCUCACCGGUGCUGUGUUACAAGCGCUCGGGUGAGCUAGGUCAAGGGGUGAAAUGUCAAUCGAGAUCGGUUAUCGCUGGUUCCUCUCCAAAUGGAUCGAAGUCCAGCCUCAAGCGAGACGGUCUAAGAGGUAAAGCUACUGAUUCUGGGUUUCUGGACGCAAGUCCAGGCCUGGAGUCAAACUCUGAACUCUUAGACGUUGUAGACCUUGGGAGUGAGGGGCAAUGCGUAAGGUAUUGUUCCUAGAGGGAAACAACCCAGAGCAUGGUUAAGGUCCCAUAAUUCCUGGCUAAGUGUCGUUGAGGAUGUCCUGAUUCUCAGACAGCGGGAAGGUUAGCUUAGAAGCAGCUACCCUUUAAAGAAAGCGUAACAGCUCACCCGUUGAGAGUCGGGGCGCCGUAAAUGGACGGGGCUCAAGCCAGGAACCGAGACCAUGCCGUUCACUUUUGUGGACGGGUAGAGAGGCGGUCUGCAUGGACGGAAGCACGGAGUUGACUUCGUGUGGACCGUGUAGACACGAGAAUCCUGCCGGCAGUAUCAGCACAAGAACGGUGAGAAUCCGUUCCGCCAAAAAAGGAAGGGUUCCUCUGCAAUGUUUAUCAGCAGAGGGUUAGUCGGUCCUAACUCCACUCCUAACUGGACGUGGAGGAAUAGGGAAGCAGGUUAAUAUUCCUGCACCUACUCACGUUAACUGACAUUUCGGGAUAACGGAAGCUGCGCCUUCGCGCAGUCUAAACUGUUAAUGCAUGGCGAGCGUAAUGCUUAGAGCCUGCGAAUCAGUGAAUGGCCUGGGAAAAAUCCCGGGUUUCCGCUAUUCUUGGAAUCCAUGAAAAGGUGUGAGAGACCGUACCCAGAACCAGCACAGGUCCUUUGGCUGAGUAGGCUAAGGCGUAUCGGGUAUAACGCAGCUUAGGGAAUUCGGCAAAUUAGCCCCGUACCUUCGGUAGAUGGGGUGCCUAUCCACUUGAUUGGAUAGGUUGCAAUUACCAGGGAAGCUCGACUGUUUACUAAAAACAUAGCCGACUGCUAGUUCGAAAGGAUUUGUAUAGUCGGCGACUCUUGCCCAGUGCCAGCACCUGAAACCUCCGUUCAAGGAGAAGAAGGGCUGGUAAACGGCGGCGGUAACUAUGACCGUCUUAAGGUAGCGUAGUCCCUUGCCAAUUAAUUGUUGGCCCGCAUCAAUAGAGUAACGAGGUUUCCACUGUCCCAAGCUGUGGUCCGGUGAACCCGCCAUACCGGCGCACAGGCCGGUGACUCCUGGUGGGAAGCGAAGUCCCUGUGAACCUUCACUGCAGUCUAUCGUUGCGGUGGGGUCCCAAGUGUGAAGCGUAGGUAGGAGACAUUACAGAGGCGCGGUCGCUAGGCCGUCGCCCAGUCGUCCAUUGGACACUACCCUCUUGGAACCCCGCUGCUUACUUCUACGGAAGGACAGCGGUAGCUGGGCAGUUUAGCUGGGGCGGCAUCCCUCUGAUAACACAUCAGAGGGGUCCAAAGGUAGGCUCAACCCGGUCAGAAAUCGGGUGUAGAGUACAAAGGCAAAAGCCUGCCUGACUGGAAUCCUGAUAGUAGGGUUUCCAGGCGCGAAAGCGUGGCUUAGCGAACGCCUAUAGCCAAAAUUUUCGUGAGGCUUAGGCCUGACAAGAAAGGUACUCCAGGGAUAACUGGAUUGUCUGAGGCGCGAGCUCACAUCGACCCUCAGGCUUGUUACUUCGAUGUCGGCUCUCCGUAUCCUGGCUGUGCAACAGCAGCCAAGGGUGGGGGUGUUCACCCAUUAAAACGGAUCGUGAGCUGGGUUUAGAUCGGCGCGAGCCAGAUCUGUUGCUAUCUGCCAGGAGUGCAGAGUGGUCUGAGAGGAAAGUCCGGACAGUACGAAAGGAACCCCGGACUGGAGCCUCUGGUGUAUCGGUCGUCCGGAAGGGCGGUGCCGAGUAGCUACGCUCCACAGGUGUAAGAGCUGAAAGCAUCUAAGCUCGAAAGCUACCUCAAAAAGAGACCGCAUUUCCCGCGCCCAUAUAAGAUGGGUUGAUAGAGUGGCGGUGUAAGUACCAAGGCAACGAGGUAUUCAGCCGACCACUACUAAGAGCGGAACUCGGGUUCA
rnacentral:rRNA from 2 species